rnacentral:antisense_RNA from 1 species
GAGGAGGUGGCUUAUGGCGAUUUCCCGUUUAUAUCAAUUCUAUCGUACCUACUUAUCAACCGCUAAGGCGACGUGGUGGCGUUGGAUGUCUCCUCAACAGCGUAUUGCAUUAUUACAGCUGGCGACGCAGUGGCACCUGCAAGAGAUGUCUGAUGACGAGUACCGCCAUUGGCUAUAAGGGGAUGAAAACAGCAUUCUGAGUAAUGGUGACGUUUCACCAGCCAGCGAGUUUUUCGCUGGUUUUUUUU